rnacentral:rRNA from 1 species
GACGAACGCUGGCGGCGUGCUUAACACAUGCAAGUCGAACGGAGAAGCCCCUUCUUGCUUGAUCGGGUCAGUGGCGAACGGGUAAGACAUACGUGACCAACCUGCCCCUGCCUCUGGAAUACGCGCUGCAAACGCCGAUUCAUACUGGAUACGCUAAGGGCCUGCAUGGGGACUUUCUGCUUAGUUGGUCGGUUGGGGAUGGGCUGCCGGCCUGCCAGCUUGUUGGUGAGUGGAUGGCUCACCAAGGCACCGACGGGUGGCCGGCCUGAGCGGGCGACCGGCCACACUGGGACUGGAACAGGGCCAGACCUCCACCGGGAGGAAGCGGGGGGGAAUAUUGCACAAUGGGCGAAGGCCUGAUGCAGCGCGGCCGCGGGGGGGAUAACGGCCUUCGGUUGGAAACCGUCUUUCGGAGGGGAGGAAGCGAUAGUGACGGUACCUGCAGAAGAAGCACCGGCUAACUACGUG